GUGGGGAAUCUUGCGCAAUGCGCGAAAGCGUGACGCAGCAACGCCGCGUGGGGGAAGACGGCCUUCGGGUUGUAAACCCCUUUCAGGAGGGACGAAGGUUCACCGGUGAAUAGCCGUGUGGAUUGACGGUACCUCCACAAGAAGCUCCGGCUAACUACGUGCCAGCAGCCGCGGUAAUACGUAGGGAGCAAGCGUUGUCCGGAAUCAUUGGGCGUAAAGCGCGCGUAGGUGGCUUCGUAAGUCCGUUGUGAAAGUCAAAGGCUCAACCUUUGAAUGCCGAUGGAUACUGCGGAGCUAGAGUACGGAAGAGGCGAGUGGAAUUCCUGGUGUAGCGGUGGAAUGCGCAGAUAUCAGGAGGAACACCAAUAGCGAAGGCAGCUCGCUGGGACGUUACUGACACUAAGGCGCGAAAGCGUGGGGAGCGAACAGG
rnacentral:rRNA from 1 species